UGGCCUUUGUGACACAGGCACGGGGUGCCAGGGUGGCCUUUGUGACACAGGCACGGUGCGUCAGGGGCCGUGGUGACGCGGGACCUUGCGGUGCCCAAAGUCCAUUGUGACAUGGCAGAGCCCCGCCCCGGCUGGGGGGUAUAUAAAGGGCUUGUGGGGCCUGGGUCAGUCCCAGGACAGUGGCUGUGUCCAGGUACCUGUGUGCGCCAGAGGACUGCAGGCACGGAGGAGGAGAAGGCGAAGCCCAAGUCCCAGCCCCCCAGGCCCUGGCCCGGCUCACAGAGAGCCCAGGCCUUGAGGGAGCAGCAGGAGGAGGCUGAGAGGGCAAGCAGAGGGAGGAGAGGAGCCGUGGAGUCCUGCGCUGAGGAAGAGCCAGAGCUCUGCCCAGGAGAAAUGAACAAGUUCCAGCAAGGGACUCCAGGGGAAGCCUGCACUGAGCCACAGCUGUCCCCAGGAGAAGCCCAGAGCUGCCAGGAGCUCUCUGAGUGGGAUGAAGGCCUUGAGCAAGAGCUGGUCCAAGUAUGGGGGAGCUACUGGCAUUUCCGGGACUGGGAUGAGGGCAGGGAGCAAGAGCCCUCCCCAGUUGUCUCCGAGUGGGACGAGUGCAGGGAGCAGGAGCCGUGGCAGGCGGACAGCGAUCACUGUCAGGAAUUCUCAGAUUGGGAAGAAUCUCCUGAGCAGCGGCUGUCCCCAGGAGAAGGCACGAGCCGCCGGGCACUCUUGGACUGGGAAGCUUGCCGCAAGCAAGAGCUGUGCCAGGAUGGCCAGGAGGUGACUGGAGGCAAAGCAAAGAGAAAAUCCUCCAGGUCCAGCUGGGAUGAUGACAGUGAUGGAGAGCUGGCUCAGGACAGCAGGGAAUACUGCGACAUCCUGUGCAGCCAGCUCAAGGCCUGGCAGCGGGAGGACGAUGACUGGGAUGAGGUGAGCGUCCUGGAGCUGCACGAGGAAGGAGAAGAGGCCAGGCAGCAGAGACUGGCAGAUUUAGCCCAAGAGGGAAUCCUGCUGCCUGUCCCUCGAGAAGCUUGGGUCCCUCGAGAAGCUUGGGUGGAGUGCCAGGAGCCCGAGCUGUGCCCGCAAGAGCAACUCUGUGCCGGGCCUGGCCCUCUGGCAGCCCAAGCCAUGGUGGAAGAUGUCUCUUCUCCUGGGCAGCCGCUUCCCCACAGGAAAGGCCGCUCGCUCUUGAGGCGGGUGCUGCAGGCGCUGCGGGCGCUGCGGGGGCUGCGGGGGCUGUUCCACUGCCCCUGCCUGGCGGCACAGCCACAGGAUCAGCGCCCGCUGCCAGCAGCGCCGGGCUGCAGAUGGCGGCUGCCCCGCGGCCUGCCCGGCGCCCCGAGGGAGCCGCACGGGCUGCCCCGGCCUGCGCUGGCCCUUCAGGCCGAGUUGGCCCUGGCCGCUCUGCAGCACCCCUGGGGCGGCUCCCCGAGGGCACACGGCAGCCCAAAGCGGCACCCGAAGGGGGACCCUCGCUGCCGGGGCUCAGCGCCGCAUCCCGGCCCAUCGUCCGGCCGGGAAGGCACCUGGAAAGUCAUCGGCUCCCAGCGGCAGCCUGGCACCGCCAGCGGCACCCCUGCACCGGGUCCCCGAGGGCCACAGCCACACGGCUCUUGGCCCUUUGCAGGGACACUGGCUCCAGCUCCUCCCUGCUGCACUCCAAGGCCAUUUCCUCUCCUCCGGAAAGGACUCCAUGCUGAUCCUGGGGCACUUUGGCCAUGAGGAAUGGACACAGACAGGAGGUGUUGCUCCCAGGACAUGACGGCGGCCUGCUGGACUGCAACACACACAAUUCUAACAAAAGAAAAGAAAGUUGUGUUUAGGAAGUAG
rnacentral:lncRNA from 1 species